rnacentral:lncRNA from 1 species
CAUAAAUCUAGUUGUUAAUUAAGAAUAAAAAUGAUUGAGGAACUGGAUCAAUAAUAGUAGCAUUGAAGUUAAAUUUUGGUGGUUAUUAAGCAUAGAAUGAGCUGAUAUUUAUAAGGAUAUCUUAGAUGAUAUACAUGGUAGAUUUUGUGGUAUAGAUUCAUGAAAUUUAAAGUAAGAGGAGUAGUGAAUAUUAGAGAGAAAAAUUGGCCAAGAAUUGCUUAGUGAUUGUGAAAAGUUAAACUUGAAUGGUGGGG